AUGCAAAGGACUAAUAUAUUUUUAUUACUAAAAAUAUUAUUUGUUUUAUUUUUAUUCGAAGCUAAUAUUAAGAUUUAUAUUAUCAUCUCCGUUUUAUUUAUUUUAUAUAAUAGAGGAUUUUUAGAUUUUUUAAUCAAUAAUUUUAACUUUAUGUCUAAUAAUGAAUCUAUAGAACAAGUUCUAAGAAGGAGACGCGAGUCUUUGAAUUUAAACAAUAAUACUGACGGUGACAAUAAUAAUUAUGGUGGAAAUAAUAAUUAUGGAGGUAAUAAUAAUUAUGGAGGUAAUAAUAAUGAUAGAGACAAUAAUAAUGAUAGAGACAAUAAUAAUGAUAUUACUAAUAGUAGCAAUGACAUUAACAAUGAUAAUGACAAUGGGAGUAAUACAUGUAACGAAAUUGCACCUAACAUAAACACUAACAGAGAAAUAAGCAAAGAAUCAAUACAAAAUAUAGUUAGUGAUAAAACAGAAGAUAAUAAAAAAACAGAACAUAAUUUAUAUAAAUACAAUGAUGAAAAUAAUUAUGAAGUAAAUGAUUUUUCUUUUUCAGAUUCACAAAAUUUUACAUUAAAAAGAAGGAAUGUGGGAGGGGAAAGUGGAAGUAUACAUAAUGAUGAAGAGAAAAAUAAAUAUAUAGAUAGAAUGAUAGAAAAGGAUACAAAAAGAGAGAAUAUAGAAAAACAAAAAAAAAAAGGACAAAGCAAAUUAUUAAUGUUAUAUUCUGUUAAAAAUGAAGAAAAUAGUAAUGAACAUAAUAAAGGUGAUAAAAAAAAUAGUAUAAUAGAUGGUAAGCUUGAUAACAAGACGAGUGACGCAGAUACAAAUUUAAAUAAAAUUGUUAGGGACAAAAACUACAGGGAUGAACUUAAUUAUGAAUUUAAUGAUGAAAACAGUGUUAAUAAGAACAGUUAUAGUAAGAAUAUUAAUCGUGAAAAUAACGAGGACGUUGAAAAUGAUACGAAUGAAACUAACUCAUUUUUAAAUAUAAAAGAAAGUAUAGGUCAUAAACAAACUAAUAUGAAUAAUAGUAGUAAUUAUGAUAAUAAUAAUAAUAAUAAUAACAAUUUAAAUUCUGAAAUAAGAAGAAGGAUGAUAAAUAUAGAGAGGUUCAGUAAUAAUAAUAGUGUUUCGUCAU
rnacentral:lncRNA from 1 species